rnacentral:rRNA from 1 species
AUACGUAGGUGACAAGCGUUAUCCGGAUUUACUGGGCGUAAAGGGUGUGUAGGCGGUCUUGCAAGUCAGAAGUGAAAUUCCUGAGCUCAACUCGGGCGCUGCUUCUGAAACUGCAGGACUUGAGUGCUGGAGGGGAUAGCGGAAUUCCUAGUGGAGCGGUAAAAUGCGCAGAUAUUAGGAAGAACACCGGUGGCGAAGGCGGCUAUCUGGACAGUAACUGACGCUGAGGCGCGAAAGCGUGGGGAGCAAACAGGAUUAGAUACCCUGGUAGUCCACACUGUAAACGAUGAAUGCUAGGUGUAGGGGGUAUCGACCCCUUCUGUGCCGCAGUCAACACAAUAAGCAUUCCGCCUGGGGAGUACGGCCGCAAGGUUGAAACUUAAAGGAAUUGACGGGG